GUCGAGCGGACAGAUGGGAGCUUGCUCCCUGAUGUUAGCGGCGGACGGGUGAGUAACACGUGGGUAACCUGCCUGUAAGACUGGGAUAACUCCGGGAAACCGGGGCUAAUACCGGAUGGUUGUUUGAACCGCAUGGUUCAGACAUAAAAGGUGGCUUCGGCUACCACUUACAGAUGGACCCGCGGCGCAUUAGCUAGUUGGUGAGGUAACGGCUCACCAAGGCAACGAUGCGUAGCCGACCUGAGAGGGUGAUCGGCCACACUGGGACUGAGACACGGCCCAGACUCCUACGGGAGGCAGCAGUAGGGAAUCUUCCGCAAUGGACGAAAGUCUGACGGAGCAACGCCGCGUGAGUGAUGAAGGUUUUCGGAUCGUAAAGCUCUGUUGUUAGGGAAGAACAAGUGCCGUUCAAAUAGGGCGGCACCUUGACGGUACCUAACCAGAAAGCCACGGCUAACUACGUGCCAGCAGCCGCGGUAAUACGUAGGUGGCAAGCGUUGUCCGGAAUUAUUGGGCGUAAAGGGCUCGCAGGCGGUUUCUUAAGUCUGAUGUGAAAGCCCCCGGCUCAACCGGGGAGGGUCAUUGGAAACUGGGGAACUUGAGUGCAGAAGAGGAGAGUGGAAUUCCACGUGUAGCGGUGAAAUGCGUAGAGAUGUGGAGGAACACCAGUGGCGAAGGCGACUCUCUGGUCUGUAACUGACGCUGAGGAGCGAAAGCGUGGG
rnacentral:rRNA from 1 species